rnacentral:rRNA from 1 species
UGUUGGUAAGGUAAAGGCUUACCAAGGCCACGAUCAGUAGCUGGUUUGAGAGAACGAUCAGCCACACUGGGACUGAGACACGGCCCAGACUCCUCCGGGAGGCAGCAGUGAGGAAUUUUCCGCAAUGGGCGAAAGCCUGACGGAGCAAUACCGCGUGAGGGAUGAAGGAUUUUGGUCUGUAAACCUCUUUUCUCAAGAAAGAAGUUCUGACGGUACUUGAGGAAUAAGCAUCGGCUAACUCCGUGCCAGCAGCCGCGGUAAUACGGGGGAUGCAAGCGUUAUCCGGAAUCAUUGGGCGUAAAGCGCCUGUAGGUUGUUUAAUAAGUCUGUUGUUAAAGACUGGGGCUUAACCCCAGGAAAGCAAUGGAAACUACUAGACUAGAGUAUGGUAGGGGUAAAGGGAAUUUCUAGUGUAGCGGUGAAAUGCGUAGAUAUUAGAAAGAACACCGGUGGCGAAAGCGCUUUACUGGACCAUUACUGACACUCAGAGGCGAAAGCUAGGGUAGCCAAAGGGAUUAGAUACCCCUGUAGUCCUAGCCGUAAACGAUGGAUACUAGAUGUUGCGCUUAUUGUGCAGUGUCGUAGCUAACGCGUUAAGUAUCCCGCCUGGGGAGUACGAUCGCAAGGUUGAAACUCAAAGGAAUUGACGGGGGCCCGCACAAGCGGUGGAGCAUGUGGUUUAAUUCGAUGCAACGCGAAGAACCUUACCAGGGCUUGACAUACUGCAAAUUUUCUUGAAAGAGAAAAGUGCCUUCGGGAAUGCAGAUACAGGUGGUGCAUGGCUGUCGUCAGCUCGUGUCGUGAGAUGUUGGGUUAAGUCCCGCAACGAGCGCAACCCUCGUUUUUAGUUGCCAUUUUAUGGGUUCUCUAGAAAGACUGCCGGUGACAAACCGGAGGAAGGUGGGGAUGACGUCAA